GGCCCCAUCGUCUAGGGGUGAGGACGCCAGGCUCUCAUCUUGGAAACAGGGGUUCGAAUCCCCUUGGGGCCG
rnacentral:tRNA from 1 species